GCGGAGUGUGUGUUGAGGCGUCUGACGGACGUUAUUGUGUCUGCAAAGGCGGGUGGGAGGGAGACAGUUGUGAGACAGAUGUAAACGAAUGCAAGACCGCCGAAUGCCACCCUCUAGCGACCUGUGAAAAUACUGCAGGGAGCUACAUCUGCCAGUGUGACGAAGGUUACGAAGGCGAUGGGCUUGAGUCAUGUACAGACAAAGAUGAAUGUGAACAAGAGGACAUCUGCGGACAAUACUCCCUGGGCUGCGUUAACACCAUAGGCAGCUACAACUGUAGCUGUCAGCAAGGGUUCGUCUCAAAUGGAACAGGUUGUGUAGGUAAGUACUGACGUGCUACAUGUGUCACCGUAUGUGUCAACGGGUUUGUUCAAUGCAGGGCCAUUUGACCAGUUUAGGCAAUGGACUAAGUUGGUAACGUCGGAAACUAUCAUGCCUGGAGAUAGCGGUCAGGUUUUGAAGAUUUUCCUUGUUAUCUAUAACAGACCUAGACGAGUGCCUGUCUUCACCCUGUCAUCAGUUUGCUGACUGUACCAACUUGCCAGGAAACUACACCUGUACCUGCCUGCCGGGGUACACUGGAGAUGGCCUGGA